UACUGUAGGUGAACUGCGGAAGGAUCAUUG
rnacentral:rRNA from 1 species